rnacentral:rRNA from 1 species
CCUACGGGGGGCUGCAGUGGGGAAUUUUGGACAAUGGGCGCAAGCCUGAUCCAGCCAUGCCGCGUGCGGGAAGAAGGCCUUCGGGUUGUAAACCGCUUUUGUCAGGGAAGAAAAGGUUCGAGCUAAUACCUCGGACUAAUGACGGUACCUGAAGAAUAAGCACCGGCUAACUACGUGCCAGCAGCCGCGGUAAUACGUAGGGUGCAAGCGUGAAGCGAAGUUACUGGGCGUGGUUAGUGAGCAGGGAUGUGAAAUCCCCGGGCUCAACCUGGGAACUGCAUGUGUGACUGCAUGACUUGAGUACGGUAGAGGGGGAUGGAAUUCCGCGUGUAGCAGUGAAAUGCGUAGAUAUGCGGAGGAACACCGAUGGCGAAGGCAAUCCCCUGGACCUGUACUGACGCUCAGGCACGAAAGCGUGGGGAGCAAACAGGAUUAGAUACCCCUGUAGUC